ACGGCAACCAAAUUACUUUGGCAAACUGCUCCCUGGGCUCCUCUGGAAACAGGCACCACUGACAGCCCUAUUGAUGGCUUUCAUCCAUUCCCCUUCCCAGGAGCUCUCCCUGCCCCAAUCUUCUAUCUGAAACAGACAUUCCCCCGGGAGGGGGACGCCGUGCUGCUCCAGUGCUCUGUGUUCUCCCGGGCCCCAGCCACCCGCAUCAUCUUCUGCAAGGACGGGGAGGAGAUUUCGUCCCAGAGGGGCUUGGAGGAGAAGAUCACCUACAGCUAUCUCCAUGCGGUGUCCAGGGGCAGCUCUGGGAAUUACUCCUGCGGGUACGAGAUCAAGGAGAGCAACAACUGGGUGAACAGAUCCCAGCUCAGCCCUGCCAAGUACCUCAGUGUCACUGGUCAUGGGGGUGAUGAGCAGAGUAAGUACAAUUGUCCAUGCAAUGGUAGAGAGAGAAUCCACAGACAGAUAGCUGUGCAACAAUGGUGAUGGGCAGAAGAAGCAGCACGAACAGCAGCGGAGGAGGGGAGGAACCGACUCGCACAGGGCUGGAUCUAAAGCUCCCGUUGGGAAUUACAAUCCCUGCUGUUGUGGUUCUGGCUGUGGUACUUUAUCUUCUGGGAAAGAAAGUUGCAUCUCUACUGAUGGACCAAAGGGAACGAGUCCAGCGCAGCACCAGCAACACUCCUGAAGAUCAUAUUGAAUAUGCCUCCGUGAAUUGGUUGGGAAGCUCCAGGCAUCCACGGCCCCAGAGAGAAGAGACACCAACAUACGCGACCAUCGCUCUGCAGCAGGACAGAUGUCAUUAAUGCUCCACUUGCUGAAAUGUAGGACUCGUCAGUGCGCAGCUGCAUCACAGAACUUCCCAAAAUCAGAGGCAACUGUAGGGACGUGCAGCAAGGACAUGGGGGACUUUCUCUGGAGUUGUGCAUUUGAUUUUUCCUUCCUAAGUGACGUACUUUGCACUUGUCUUUAUUGGAUUUCAUCUCAUUUGAUUUCAGACCAAUUUUCCAAUUUGUCAAGGUCAUUUUAAAUUCUAGUCCGGUCCUCCAAAGAGCUUGUAACCCUUCCCUGCUCAGUCUCAACUGCAGAUUUUAUAAUAUACUCUCUGCUCCAUUAUUCAAGUCACUAAUGAAAAUAUUGAAUAGUACCAGACCCAGGACUACAGUGUGUGGGAUCCUUCUAGAUACACCCUCCCCAUUUGACAGUGAACUAUUAACUAUGCUCUGAGCAUGGUCUUUCAACCAGCUGUGCACCCAGCAGAUAGUAAUUUCAUCUUCAUCACAUUUCCCUAGCUUGCUUCUAAGCAUGUCAUGUGGGAUUCAUAGAAUCAUAGAAUAUCAGGGUUUGUAAGGGACUUCAGGAAGUCAUCUAGUCCAACCCCCUACUCAAAGCAGGAUCAAUCCCCAGACAGAUUUUUGCCCCAGAACCCUAAAUAGCCCUCUGAAGGAUUGAACUCACAACCCUGAGUUUAGCCCACCAAUGCUCAAACCACUGAGCUAUCCCUCCUGCCAAGAUUCAGAAGUCUUGCUAAAAUCAAGAUAUAUCCUUGCUAUUGCUUCCCUACAGCCACUAGGCCAGUAACCAUAUCAAAGAAGGAAGCUAGGUUGGUUUGUCAUGAUUUGUUCUUGAAAAAUGCAUGCUGGCUAUUCCUUAUAACCCUGUUAUCCUCCAGGUGCUUAUCACCUGAUUGUUUGAUAAUUUGGUCCAGUAUCUUCCCAGGUAUGGAAGUUAGAUUGACUUGUCUAUAACUCACUGGUUCCCAUUUGCUUUUUUAAAUAUAGGUGCUAUGAUUUCCCUCCUCCAGGC
rnacentral:lncRNA from 1 species